GAGUUUGAUCGUGGCUCAGAUUGAACGCUGGCGGCAUGCCUUACACAUGCAAGUCGAACGGCAGCACGGGAGCUUGCUCCUGGUGGCGAGUGGCGAACGGGUGAGUAAUGCAUCGGAACGUAUCCUGGAGUGGGGGAUAACGUAGCGAAAGUUACGCUAAUACCGCAUAUUCUGUGAGCAGGAAAGCGGGGGACCUUCGGGCCUCGCGCUCUUGGAGCGGCCGAUGUCGGAUUAGCUAGUUGGUGAGGUAAAGGCUCACCAAGGCGACGAUCCGUAGCAGGUCUGAGAGGAUGAUCUGCCACACUGGAACUGAGACACGGUCCAGACUCCUACGGGAGGCAGCAGUGGGGAAUUUUGGACAAUGGGGGCAACCCUGAUCCAGCCAUGCCGCGUGAGUGAAGAAGGCCUCGGUUGUAAGACUCUUUCGUCGAGGGAAGGAAAGUUAGUACGACCGGA
rnacentral:rRNA from 1 species